rnacentral:hammerhead_ribozyme from 1 species
CUGACGAAUCUCAAAUAGGACGAAACGCGCGUC